rnacentral:lncRNA from 10 species
GGCAGCUCCAUGACCACACCUCUGUGCCCAGACAUGGAUCAGAACUGGGAGAAAAAGAGAAGGUGGUACCUUCUAUCCCCUUCACCCUGGGUCUUUCAGGAUCUGCCCCAAGGAGCAGAAAACGGGUGCGCCCAGAGCAGCUUACUCAGGAGACGCUUGCUGUAUGUAUGGCCUGGGACAACUGUAAGAGCCCUGAGGGCACAGAGUAUGGGCAACAGGUGAUAGCAAAUCAAGGAGCAUAUUUAGCAAUGCCUGUGCUACCUAGCAAUGAGAAAUCUAUGAAAAUAGCGACACCACAGGAAUAGGGACUGCAGAGUGGGAAGAAAUGAGGGGUGACCAUGUUGAAGAAACUGUGUUUCGGCAGAGGAGAGAGCAGAGCAAUGGGGUGAGGUGGGAAUGCUUUUGGGUGGGCUUCAGAAGCAGUGAGGUCAGUGUGGCUGUCGUGAGGUGUGGAGAGUUGGGGAAGAGGAAAGGGGGUACCUGAGUUACCUGGGGCCACGUCACGUAGGGCCUGGUGGGCUGUGGUAGGGACUUGGGAUGUUUCUCUAAGUGCAGAAGAUUUUGAGCUGGGGAGAUGUGAUUGGAUUUAUGUUGUAGGGGCAAUAGAGACUAGGGAAUUGAACAGGAAGCAGGGAGGCCAGGAGGUGGCAGCUGUAGAGGUCUGGAGGCUUGGAUGUAACCAGGAGGGUUGGACAGAGCUACAGGUCAGACUGGGUCCACAUUUCAAAGGGGAUCUUAAAGGCUGUGAGAGGGACUAUUACAUGCCACCAAUAUUGAUUGUGCUCCUACCAUCAGGAUACAGAGAUGAGACAGUGAUUCCUGUCCUCAAGGAGGUUACAUUCGCAUGGGGAGAGACACAUAGCAAAAGAGACCACCAAGGCAAGUCCGCCGAGAGAUGAUGAGAGCCCAGAGGGCAUAUCACUAAGAGAAGGCCAGGAAUGAUCUCACGGAGCAAAUGGCAAUUGGCUUGAGUUUUGAGGAAGUAGAAGUUUGGCAGCCUCCAUAGGAACUGGCCCGGGGCGAGUUCCCGGGGUAAAAGGUGCAACCUGGGUGUGGGCCGGUUUCCUUGUGAAGGCUGUGGCUUCCCCUCAGGCUCACCCUUGCUGAUGCUGAGUAAUCUGCAGGCUGCAAUCUGCCCGUGAAAGAACUCUUGCAACACAUUGUGUGAGGAUCCCAGGCUGCCCUGUCCUUCCCUGGGAAUCAGGUCAAGAGCCCUGCUGGCAGGUGUCCUAGAGCAUGAAUCAGGCCCCUGGCAAGGAGAAGGCGGGAGAUCUUGGCUGAGAUCAGGUAGGAAGGUUUAUUGGAUGAUGUGUCUGGUCAAUAGCCAAUCUAUUAACCCCCCCUGAGAGAAUUAGGAACCUUCAUAUGAUGGGUCAUCUCUUUGUGGGAGAAGUUUAGAUAACUGGAAACCACAUUUUGGUCAAGAAUGACUCAGUUAAUUUUUCCAUGCCUUUAGUGAGGAUUUAAUUUUGCACGGGUAAGUGACUUCAGAGUGGUUGGUGAAAGCUGGCUGGCUGUCAUUUUGUCUGGCAGUGCAGAGUGGCAAUUUAUCCCUUUAGGUGGCCCAAGAUUUGGGUGGCUGGACUUUCCAAGGCAAUUUAAUUUAAUUUAUUUGUUUAUGCUGAGCCUUGGGUUAAUGCUUUCAAAUGGUUUAUUUCAGAGAUCUGAUAACCUGCGGACUGACUUUCUCCUUCUAGACUUGUGUUGAUUUGAUUCAACAGACCCUCAUGACUCAUGAAGCACCUAUAUGUACCAGUCAUUGUGAUAAAUCUGGGGAUUAGACAGGGGCAAAACUCAGUCCUUGUUGAGUUAGCUCAUGGUGCAAUACUGGACUCAGACAUAAACAAACACACAGAAAUGAUAGGUUUGUGUGGCAUGCUGAAGGCCCAGGUAAGAAGGAAUUCAUUCUGUUGGAUAAGGCGGGGACUCAAGGAGGCUUCCUGGAGGAAGCGAAAUCCUAGAUGAGUCUGAAAGGGUAAAUAGGAAUGAAUGCUCUCCAACUCUGA